CCUACGGGAGGCUGCAGUAGGGAAUCUUCCACAAUGGGCGAAAGCCUGAUGGAGCAACGCCGCGUGGGUGAAGAAGGUCUUCGGAUCGUAAACCCUGUUGGUAGAGAAGAAAGUGCGGGAGAGUAACUGGUCACGUUUCGACGGUAUCUAACCAGAAAGCCACGGCUAACUCCGUGCCAGCAGCCGCGGUAAUACGUAGGUGGCAAGCGUUAUCGGAUUUAUUGGGCGUAAAGGGAACGCAGGCGGUCUUUUAUGUCUGAUGUGAAAGCCUUCGGCUUAACGGGAGUAGUGUAUUGGAAUCUGGGAGACUUGAGUGCAGAAGAGGAGAGUGGAACUCCAUGUGUAGCGGUGAAAUGCGUAGAUAUAUGGAAGAACACCAGUGGCGAAAGCGGCUCUCUGGUCUGUAACUGACGCUGAGGUUCGAAAGCGUGGGUAGCAAACAGGAUUAGAUACCCGAGUAGUC
rnacentral:rRNA from 1 species